UUUAUACCGAUAGAUUCUCUGCCUCUUUCAAAGCUUCUUCUUCUAGAAACCAAUUUCUUGUAGAUCUUUCAGCUUUUACUGUCAGUGGUGAUGCCAGCCAUCUAAAUCUUCUUCCCUAAGUGCUUGAAUCUUCCACAACCCGUAAAGUACCAAUUGGAAUAGUUUAUUCAGAAUCAAGAUAGCAUAAAUUAGCUAGAGUUUUGUCUACAACAAAUGAUGUUGAUCGGUCUCAAACGGAUAAUAUCAUCAAACAGGUCACUGAUCUGAAUCAGAGUGAAAAUGAAAUCAAGAAAAGUUAUGGGGAUGCUGAGGACAAGAUUAAGGCAUCUGAGCAGCAGAAUUCUGAUAAUGACUCUCAAAAUAUGGUAAUUUUCAUUAUUUUUUUUUUUUAUUCCAACUUUAUAAUCAGAGCACUCAUGUAUAUACAUUAAAGUCUUGGAUGGUUACUUGUAGGUUUGAAUGUGAAAGGAUUAGUUAGCUUGCAGGUAGUUUAGUAGUCAUUUUGACGCUUUUUCUUUAUUUUAUUCUAAUUUAAAAUUUACCAUAGUAUUACUAAGGUAGUUCAGAUAAUACUUGAAUGUUACGCAUCAUACAUUGCUGGGAGUCUGACAACAUUAAUUAUUUGUCUUAAACAUUUUAAUUUGUUCUUCUGAUGGUGGAAAGGAAUGGUUAUGCUUGAUUGAUCUCUUUAUUCUUGUAUAUAAAUAUUAUAUAUGGCUCACUGCUAUAUCUUUUUGGUUGUAUUGAAGAUUUUGGCUGUAUGGUGAACCUUUUUAGAUUAGAUUAAUCAAAAUUGCAAUCUUGCUUUUCUCUUUUUUUGUUUGUAGUGGAGUUCUGUCAUCUGUUCCCUGUUUCUUUUUCAUUGGGAAGCCUGAGCGGUUGUCUGUAUACUGGAAACAUGAUGAAUGCUGUUAUAAACUUUCCAUUUCUUUUUCUUAUUCCUUGCUGCUUCUCUAACACACACACUGAUGUGCUCCCAAAGUCUAGUGUUUGCAGACCCUAUGUACACAUGAUAUUGAACCAAAAUGGUUAGCGUGGACUUUUUCUCAAUAUUGAGUCAGCCUGUGCUUAUUGCAGAGUAGUUAUGCUCACUUGGUGACAAAUGAAAUUCAUUGAUAACAUUUGGUUUUUCCAUGAAGUUUCAACUUUAAUGGAUUGAUUGCUUCAUAUUACGAUGAUAAUGUCCGAUCCAAAUGUGUCAUUGCACUUGCAUGUAUAUUUUCAUUAAUGAUAAAAUAUUCAAUCUACUUGCCUUUCUUCUUUUCCUUGGCUGUCCCCCUGGCCCUUCACCGCCAAGUAUGGUUAUCUCUACCCUUAAACUAACUGUAUGAUCUUGUUAAUGAUGGGAAGUAAUGUAGAUUUGCUAAGAACUUUGGUUUGCACUAAUAUUGCUGGAAAUCAUAAGAAUAAAGAAUGAACACCCGGAUGAUAGCCAAUGUAUUGUCAAUGAUAGAGUGAAAGGUUGUCUUAAGGUCACCAGAGCAUUUGGAGCUGGAUUUCUGAAAAAGGCCUUCUCUACAUCACCAUAGACUCUGCCUAAGAGAUUAAUUUUUGAUCCUCUCAUCCGAUGGCUUAUAUCAGUAUCUGACCAAUCAGGAAGUGGUUUCAAAUGUUGAGAGUUUCAUGGAGAAGUUUCCAGUUGGUGAUCCUGCACAUCACCUAAUAGAGGAGCUGCUCUUCCAUGCAGCUGACAAAGCUGGAAAAAAUGAUAGAGCUGUAAGAUGAAACAUAGGCAGGGGAAAGUGAAAAAACAGAAGCAGAAAUAUGAGGAAGUUCUGGGUAAAGCUUCUGGAUUUAAUCAAAAUUUUGCAUUUUCACACAUUGAGCAUCAUGAUACUGUAGCAGAAGCAGAGUUAAGUUGCAUAGUGCAACAACAAGAAAAUAAGAUUAAACAGUUGGAGGAGUAGCUCGUCUUAGUUGAUCAACAAAAACAGAAAAUAAAAAGCGUUGAACAACAACAAUUUGUCCUGUUGGAGAUGAUGAAGCAGCUAACUAUAGCCCUUGAACUACAACAAUCUGAUAAAGCUCUAACUCGACAGCCAUCGCCAUAUCCAACUGUUGAAUACUCGUCCUCAUGAGCUACAGCUAUUUCAAAGACCCCAACUAGUGACACUUGACAUGAUGUAGAUAUUGAUGGUUAGUUUUUUUAUUGUAUGGGCAGUAUAUAUUUUGGCAUGGGGGUAGGACCAUC